UGCCUGAUGGAGGGGGAUAACUACUGGAAACGGUAGCUAAUACCGCAUAACGUCGCAAGACCAAAGAGGGGGACCUUCGGGCCUCUUGCCAUCGGAUGUGCCCAGAUGGGAUUAGCUAGUAGGUGGGGUAACGGCUCACCUAGGCGACGAUCCCUAGCUGGUCUGAGAGGAUGACCAGCCACACUGGAACUGAGACACGGUCCAGACUCCUACGGGAGGCAGCAGUGGGGAAUAUUGCACAAUGGGCGCAAGCCUGAUGCAGCCAUGCCGCGUGUAUGAAGAAGGCCUUCGGGUUGUAAAGUACUUUCAGCGGGGAGGAAGGGAGUAAAGUUAAUACCUUUGCUCAUUGACGUUACCCGCAGAAGAAGCACCGGCUAACUCCGUGCCAGCAGCCGCGGUAAUACGGAGGGUGCAAGCCGUAAUCGGAAUU
rnacentral:rRNA from 1 species